GGCAUGGCCGAUAGUUGAGCCAGAACAGUGGGGUACCCAAACGCAGUAGCUAUGCUCCAGUAAAUGCACGCGUAGCGUUAAAGACUGGACUGGCAUGCAGCUGCUAGCCAUCAUUUUGCUUCCAUUUCAGUUACUAAUUUCCAACCGAAAGUUGUUUUACUAGCCAGGUCAUGACCCUUCUAUCAUUCAGAUGGCUCACCCCUUCUCGGCCAACGACGACCAAAUUAUGUGAAUCGGACUUCAUUCAAUAAGUACUGGAGUGAAGUUACUGCUUCAGAACUCAGGUGCCGUGGCCGAUGGUCGCGAGAUCAGGCCUUUCCAUGCAGGGUGCUCACCUUGGAGGACAUAAACAAAGCUCUCCUCCACCAUGAUACCCUCGAAUCGCAGCAACCCUCCCCAGGUAGCCUCUCCAAAUGCAAUCACAGUGUACAAAAACAUCACUGCGUACAUUCUUGCGGGGGUCGCCGGAGGGUUGGUGCUCGCAGCGGUGGUCAUGGUUUGUUGCAGGGUGUGUCUUCGAAAAAAGAAACCUCUUACACGGCAACAUGUUGUGUUCAGCAGGGGCUCGGAAAGGCAACACAGUAGGGCCCGCAAGUAUCACAGCCUAGAUUCUGCGGUCAGCCUCGACAUAGAGACCAGCUGCGGUUAUCCGGA